rnacentral:tRNA from 1 species
GAGGUGUUAGUAAAACAAUUACAUAGUCUUGUCAAGACUAAAUUACAGGUGAAAAUCCAGUACACCUCC